rnacentral:rRNA from 1 species
GACGAACGCUGGCGGCGUGCCUAAUACAUGCAAGUAGAACGCUGAAGGAGGAGCUUGCUUCUCUGGAUGAGUUGCGAACGGGUGAGUAACGCGUAGGUAACUUGCCUGGUAGCGGGGGAUAACUAUUGGAAACGAUAGCUAAUACCGCAUAAGAGUAGAUGUUGCAUGACAUUUGCUUAAAAGGUGCAAUUGCAUCACUACCAGAUGGACCUGCGUUGUAUUAGCUAGUUGGUGGGGUAACGGCUCACCAAGGCGACGAUACAUAGCCGACCUGAGAGGGUGAUCGGCCACACUGGGACUGAGACACGGCCCAGACUCCUACGGGAGGCAGCAGUAGGGAAUCUUCCGCAAUGGGCGAAAGCCUGACGGAGCAACGCCGCGUGAGUGAAGAAGGUUUUCGGAUCGUAAAGCUCUGUUGUAAGAGAAGAACGAGUGUGAGAGUGGAAAGUUCACAGUGUGACGGAUCUACCAGA